AUUGAACGCUGGCGGCAUGCUUUACACAUGCAAGUCGAACGGUAACAGGCCGCAAGGUGCUGACGAGUGGCGAACGGGUGAGUAAUGCAUCGGAACGUGCCCAGUCGUGGGGGAUAACGCAGCGAAAGCUGCGCUAAUACCGCAUACGAUCUCUGGACGAAAGCGGGGGACCGAAAGGCCUCGCGCGAUGGGAGCGGCCGAUGUCAGAUUAGGUAGUUGGUGGGGUAAAGGCCCACCAAGCCAACGAUCUGUAGCUGGUCUGAGAGGACGACCAGCCACACUGGGACUGAGACACGGCCCAGACUCCUACGGGAGGCAGCAGUGGGGAAUUUUGGACAAUGGGCGCAAGCCUGAUCCAGCCAUGCCGCGUGCAGGAUGAAAGCCUUCGGGUUGUAAACUGCUUUUGUACGGAACGAAAAGCUCUGGGUUAAUACCCUGGGGUCAUGACGGUACCGUAAGAAUAAGCACCGGCUAACUACGUGCCAGCAGCCGCCGUAAAAC
rnacentral:rRNA from 1 species